rnacentral:rRNA from 1 species
CUACGGGGCGCAGCAGUGAGGAAUAUUGCACAAUGGGGGGAACCCUGAUGCAGCAACGCCGCGUGGGGGAUGACGCAUUUCGGUGUGUAAACUCCUUUUAUAUGUCAAGAAAAUGACGGUAGCAUAUGAAUAAGCACCGGCUAACUCCGUGCCAGCAGCCGCGGGUAAUACGGAGGGUGCAAGCGUUACUCGGAAUCACUGGGCGUAAAGGACGCGUAGGCGGGUUGGAAAGUCAGGUGUGAAAUCCUACAGCUUAACUGUAGAACUGCACUUGAAACUUCUAAUCUAGAGUAUGGGAGGGGGAGAUGGAAUUAGUGGUGUAGGGGUAAAAUCCGUAGAUAUCACUAGGAAUACCUAAAGCGAAGGCGAUCUCCUGGAACAUUACUGACGCUAAGGCGUGAAAGCGUGGGGAGCAAACAGGAUUAGAUACCCGUGUAGUC